rnacentral:rRNA from 1 species
AUUGAACGCUGGCGGAAUGCUUUACACAUGCAAGUCGAACGGCAGCACGGGGCAACCUGGUGGCGAGUGGCGAACGGGUGAGUAAUACAUCGGAACGUGCCCAAUCGUGGGGGAUAACGUAGCGAAAGUUACGCUAAUACCGCAUACGAUCUACGGAUGAAAGCGGGGGAUCGCAAGACCUCGCGCGAGUGGAGCGGCCGAUGUCAGAUUAGGUAGUUGGUGGGGUAAAGGCUCACCAAGCCAACGAUCUGUAGCUGGUCUGAGAGGACGACCAGCCACACUGGAACUGAGACACGGUCCAGACUCCUACGGGAGGCAGCAGUGGGGAAUUUUGGACAAUGGGCGCAAGCCUGAUCCAGCCAUUCCGCGUGCAGGAUGAAGGCCUUCGGUUGUAACCUACUGUCAUGGGGAGAAGGAAGUGACGGUACCCCGAAGAGGAAGACCCUCGCGUAACUACGUGCCAGCAGCCGCCGGUAAGCUCGUCUCUA